ACCUACGUGGUGUAACUGGAAGACACAUUCGGCUAGCAACCGGAAAGUUCGGAGUUCGAAUCUUGGCGAGGGCA
rnacentral:tRNA from 1 species